AUACGGAGGGGGCUAGCGUUACUCGGAAUCACUGGGCGUAAAGCGCGCGCAGGCGGCUAUUUAAGUUGGAUGUGAAAGCCUACGGCUCAACCGUAGAACUGCAUCCAAAACUAUUUAGCUAGAGUGUGGGAGAGGAAGAUGGAAUUAGUUGUGUAGGGGUAAAAUCCGUAGAGAUAACUAGGAAUACCAAAAGCGAAGGCAAUCUUCUGGAACACUACUGACGCUGAGGCGCGAAAGCGUGGGGAGCAAACGGGAUUAGAUACCCUAGUAGUCC
rnacentral:rRNA from 1 species